GUGAGGCGCGUCUAGGGUUCCGCCGCUCGCGGGUCUGGUCCGAGAGAUGCAGGCGGUUCGUCACCAGGCAGACCGUUCCACGGCGGGACAAAAACCCGGGAGGC
rnacentral:sRNA from 2 species